rnacentral:rRNA from 1 species
UACGUAGGGUCCGAGCGUUGUUCGGAAUUACUGGGCGUAAAGCGCGUGUAGGCUGCUCCGAAAGUCGGAUGUGAAAGCCCUGGGCUCAACCUAGGAAGUGCACUCGAAACUUCGGAGCUGGAGUCCUGGAGAGGAAGGCGGAAUUCUCGGUGUAGAGGUGAAAUUCGUAGAUAUCGAGAGGAACACCGGUGGCGAAGGCGGCCUUCUGGACAGUGACUGACGCUGAGACGCGAAAGCGUGGGGAGCAAACAGG